ACAUUACUAGUAUAAUUUUGAGUAUGCUGUCUUUCCAAGUCAGUGGUCCUGCUAGGGUAUUGUA
rnacentral:tRNA from 1 species